rnacentral:rRNA from 1 species
UCGAGAAUUUUUGACAAUGGGGGAAACCCUGAUCGAGCGACGCCGCGCGGAGUAUGAAGGUCUUCGUCUUGUAAACUCCUGUCAUUGGGGAACAAUGCACAGAUAUUAACUGUAUUUGUGUUGAUAGUACCCGAAGAGGAAGGGACGGCUAACUCUGUGCCAGCAGCCGCGGUAAUACAGAGGUCUCAAGCGUUGUUCGGAUUCAUCUGGCGUAAAGGGUGCUUAGGCGGCGCGGUGAGCCGGGUGUGAAAUCCCGGAGCUUAACUCCGAAACUGCAUUCGAUACUGGCAUGCUUGAGGACUGCAGAUGAGACUGGGAUUUACGGUGUAGCGGUGAAAUGCGUAGAUGUCGUAAGGAAGACCAGUGGCGAAGGCGGGUCUCUGGACAGUUCCUGACGCUGAGACACGAAGGUCAGGGGGGCAAACGGG